rnacentral:rRNA from 1 species
UACGGGGGGGGCAAGCGUUGUUCGGAAUUACUGGGCGUAAAGGGCUCGUAGGCGGCCAACUAAGUCGGAUGUGAAAUCCCCAGGCUCAACCUGGGAACUGCAUCCGAUACUGGAUGGCUUGAAUUCGGGAGAGGGAUGCAGAAUUCCAGGUGUAGCGGUGGAAUGCGCAGAUAUCAGGAGGAACACCGGUGGCGAAGGCGGGUCUCUGGGCAGUAACUGACGCUGAGGAGCGAAAGCGUGGGGAGCGAACAGG